CUACAGAAUGUGACGGUGUGUAUGACGUCAGUUUCAGGUCAUCUGUUGGGUCUGGAGUUCAAGGCUCAGUUCCAGAAAUGGCACAGCUGUAAUCCUGUCCUGUUGUUUGAUGCGGAGGUGGAGAAGUAUUGUCCUGAGAACUUUGUUCAGAUCAAGCGGACCUUAGAGAGAGAGGUGAGUCAGUGCCAGGCGGCUUGUCAUCUGGACAGAUUGUGACAGGAGAG